rnacentral:rRNA from 1 species
GGCUCAGGAUGAACGCUAGCGGCAGGCUUAACACAUGCAAGUCGAGGGGCAUCGGGAGUAGCAAUACUUGCCGGCGACCGGCGCAAGGGUGCGUAACGCGUGAGCAACAUGCCCGUAUCAGGGGGAUAAUCCAUGGAAACGUGGUCUAAUACCCCAUAGUAAUUAUGUAAGGCAUCUUAUAUAAUUUAAAGCUUUGGUGGAUACGGAUUGGCUCGCGUGACAUUAGCUGGAUGGUAAGGUAACGGCUUACCAUGGCUACGAUGUCUAGGGGUUCUGAGAGGAAGGUCCCCCACACUGGAACUGAGACACGGUCCAGACUCCUACGGGAGGCAGCAGUGAGGAAUAUUGGACAAUGGAUGGAAAUCUGAUCCAGCCAUGCCGCGUGCAGGAAGAACCGGCCCUAUGGGUUGUAAACUGCUUUUGUAUGGGAGCAAUAAGGGCUACGUGUAGUCCGAUGAGAGUACCAUACGAAUAAGCACCGGCUAACUCCGUGCCAGCAGCUGC